rnacentral:rRNA from 1 species
UACGAAGGGGGCUAGCGUUGCUCGGAAUUACUGGGCGUAAAGCGCACGUAGGCGGCUUCUUAAGUCGGUGGUGAAAUCCUGGAGCUCAACUCCAGAACUGCCUUCGAUACUGGGAGCUCGAGUCCGGGAGAGGUGAGUGGGAACUGCGAGUGUAGAGGUGAAAUUCGUAGAUAUUCGCAAGAACACCAGUGGCGAAGGCGGCUCACUGGCCCGGUACUGACGCUGAGGUGCGAAAGCGUGGGGAGCAAACAGGG